UAAUACGAAGGGACCUAGCGUAGUUCGGAAUUACUGGGCGUAAAGCGCGCGUAGGCCGUUGAGUUAGUUAAUUGUGAAAUCCCAAAGCUUAACUUUGGAACUGCAAUUAAAACUGCUCGACUAGAGUUUGAUAGAGGAAAGCGGAAUACAUAGUGUAGAGGUGAAAUUCGUAGAUAUUAUGUAGAACACCAGUUGCGAAGGCGGCUUUCUGGAUCAACACUGACGCUGAGGCGCGAAAGUAUGGGUAGCAAAGAGGAUUAGAUACCCUCGUAGUCCAUACCAUAAACGAUGAUUGCUAGAUGUUGGAAAUUUAUUUUCAGUAUCGCAGCUAACGCAUUAAGCAAUCCGCCUGGGGAGUACGACCGCAAGGUUAAAACUCAAAUGAAUUGACGGGGACCCGCACAAGCGGUGGAGCAUGUGGUUUAAUUCGAAGAUACGCGCAGAACCUUACCAACCCUUGACAUGUCUGUCGCGAGUUUAGGAAACUAGACUUUCGG
rnacentral:rRNA from 1 species